rnacentral:rRNA from 1 species
AACGAACGCUGGCGGCAGGCUUAACACAUGCAAGUCGAACGCCCCGCAAGGGGAGUGGCAGACGGGUGAGUAACGCGUGGGAAUCUACCCAGAUCUUCGGAACAACUGAGGGAAACUUCAGCUAAUACCGGAUACGCCCUACGGGGGAAAGAUUUAUCGGAUCUGGAUGAGCCCGCGUUGGAUUAGCUAGUUGGUGGGGUAAUGGCCUACCAAGGCGACGAUCCAUAGCUGGUCUGAGAGGAUGAUCAGCAACACUGGACUGAGACACGGCUCAGACUCCUACGGGAGGCAGCAGUGGGGAAUAUUGGACAAUGGGCGAAAGUCUGAUCCAGCCAUGCCGCGUGAGUGAUGAAGGCCUUAGGGUUGUAAAGCUCUUUCAGUAGGGAAGAUAAUGACGGUACCUACAGAAGAAGCCCCGGCUAACUUCGUGCCAGCCGCCGCGGUAA